AUAUAAUUAAGCGAAGGAAAAGAAAAUAACUAUGAUUCCCUCAGUAAGGGCGACUGAAGCGGGAAGAGCUCAUUCUGUGAAUCUCUGCUUCAUGCAGAGAGUUGUGGAGAGGUACGCUUGUCUUGGCCUUAGCUUAAAUCUCUUGGAACAGGGUGCCUAUGAGGGUGAGAGCCCCGUAUAGCUUCUGGCCUUGGCUUUAACGUGUAUCUCAUACGAGUCGAGUUGCUUGGGAUUGCAGCUCUAAGUGGGUGGUAAACUCCAUCUAAAGCUAAAUAUCGGCGUGAUAUCGAUAGCGAACAAGUACCGUGAGGGAAAGAUGCAAAGAACUUUGAAAAGAGAGUUAAAGAGUACCUGAAAUUGUUGAAAUGGAAGCGAAGGAAAUCAGUGCUAUUCAUUACUAUUUUUCCAGCCUUACUUGUGAGGUUGGCGCUGUGGUGCUGAAUAAGCCAGUGUGGGUUUAUACCGGGGGAAGACGCUCAUCAGAAGGCAGCUAGAUUUCCUAGCGAUUGCUGUUGGGUUGUGCUCUGGUAUAGACUGAGGCUAGUCACUUGUGCUCGUGACACUGGCAAAAUGGUUUUCUUUACCCCGUCUUGAAACACGGACCAAGGAGUCUAACAUCUGUGCGAGUAUAUGAGUGGCAAACUCACAUGCAAAAUGAAAGUAACACGUGGUAGGAUCUUAUGAGCACUAUCCGCCGGCCACAAUUCUUCGGAAGAAAGGUCUGAGUGUGAGCAUACAUGUUGGGACCCGAAAGAUGGUGAACUAUGCCUGAAUAGGGUGAAGCCGCCGGAAACGGCGGUGGAGGCUCGUAGCGGUUCUGACGUGCAAAUCGAUCGUCAAAUUUGGGUAUAGGGGCGAAAGACUAAUC
rnacentral:rRNA from 1 species